GACUUUAUGACGUUUAAUUUUCGCCUGCGCCAAGUAUGUGGUAGUAUUCGUACAGUGUGGGCUCUGUUUCGGCCAUUUUGUUCGCAACGCAAAAAGUGUUGUGCUUCGUUUGCCUCCGCGUCGUUUUGAAUAAAGCAGUAAGUUUUUUAAUAUUAAUAUAUAUUUUUAUGAUUUUUUAUGCACAUUUUGUAUUUUUUCAGCACCUUAUAGAAGCAGAAAAAUUCGUCGAAAGUACGACCACCUCAGCUGGCCGGAUUGACGGGGAUUCGGAAGUAUCGGACCAGGAUCCAGUGAACAAUGAGUCGUGAGUUGUCAACCACAAACACCAGGUCAAGCUUCGUAACUAAUGAGUCCUCAAAUCCGCACACGAUAAUCACUCCGGGAACAUCUUCUACUGAGGAUUAUACUGAGUACCAGUAUUUAGAUGAUGAUAAUCUCCGCGAAAGUGAUGCUCAGGAGCAACCUAAAAGGCGUAAGCAAAGGCCAAUUUUACAGAAGCAGCAAUUUCAAAUAAACUAUGAACAAAUUCGUGAAGCACACAAGCAUAAGAUGCAACUUGGUGUUGAUUUUCCGAUUACUCCAUCUUCUGGCCAUUCUUCG